CCUACGGGAGGCAGCAGUGAGGAAUAUUGGACAAUGGGCGCAAGCCUGAUCCAGCCAUGCCGCGUGCAGGAUGACGGUCCUAUGGAUUGUAAACUGCUUUUAUACGAGAAGAAACACUGCUUCGUGAAGCAGCUUGACGGUAUCGUAAGAAUAAGGAUCGGCUAACUCCGUGCCAGCAGCCGCGGUAAUACGGAGGAUCCAAGCGUUAUCCGGAAUCAUUGGGUUUAAAGGGUCCGUAGGCGGUUUAAUAAGUCAGUGGUGAAAGCCCAUCGCUCAACGGUGGAACGGCCAUUGAUACUGUUAGACUUGAAUUAUUAGGAAGUAACUAGAAUAUGUAGUGUAGCGGUGAAAUGCUUAGAGAUUACAUGGAAUACCAAUUGCGAAGGCAGGUUACUACUAAUGGAUUGACGCUGAUGGACGAAAGCGUGGGUAGCGAACAGGAUUAGAUACCCUGGUAGUCCACGCCGUAAACGAUGGAUACUAGCUGUUGGGUGCAAACUCAGUGGCUAAGCGAAAGUGAUAAGUAUCCCACCUGGGGAGUACGUUCGCAAGAAUUGAAACUUCAAAGGAUUGACGGGCUUGAGUUGNGACGAGGCACAGGAGGUUAGG
rnacentral:rRNA from 1 species